rnacentral:lncRNA from 1 species
CUGAAUUUCACUCUAAAACUUUAAGAAAGUUUAUUUUGGCAAUCUGCAUUCCUUUGUGUGUUACAAUACAGAGGAAACUAAUUCUGACUCAGUGAAAUCAGAAACGUUUGCAAUUAUUUUCAAGUACCUCCUACAACUUGAUUCAGCCAAAGAUUUUCCAUAGUUGCUGGCUAUGGACUGGGAUCAAUAGAUGUUUUGCUCCAAUCCAGACCAAUGACAAUAAGCUUAAUGUUUCGGUAUUUGUUUUAAAAGUCGCUUGAGUAUGUAUAUCAUGGAAGAAUUUUUCUUCUUUCCUUGAAAGACGUGUGAAAUGCUGAAUGACUCUCGCAGCUGAAUCACCGCGUUUCUUCAGGUUUCCCAGGCGGAGCCAGCGCUGCCUCUCAAAUCCUUAUCAAUGAGCCGGUGCAGCGUGAGCCCAACCAGUCAGCGCUGGGAAGUGAGAGGUGUUCUGCGGUUCUGCCUGGGGCUGGCCUGCUUUCUGUGCUGAGUCCUGAGCUCUCACAGCUCUUGCUGGGCAGCUUU